rnacentral:lncRNA from 1 species
AAAAAUUGUUACUGGCAAUGCCAUGAUUUUCUCUAACCAGUGUAAACAUAUAUAAAUAGUCUUUUGAAAAUAUUAGUACAACGGCAGUGUUUCUUUUGCGGGUGAGAAGGGCAGUUGAUUACAUAUAUAGAACAAGUGAUCACAAGCUUGACAGUAAUGAGGCCUAAAGUGUACAUGCAGUAUCAUACACAAAUGGAAAUCUAAAGGUUAUACAUAUCUCGCUUAGAGCAACGCCAAAAGGGCAAAGAUACUGGAUCGCUUGAUACGAAACAAAAGAUGGCUCUAUUGGUUACCAUACUAUCUUGUGUAGUCUUCAAACGCUGCUCUGACUUCAUGCCAAUAUAGUGUAGCCUCUGCGUCACUUCUUCAAUGCUUGGAUUAGCUACUACUUUAGUUCUUUCGAUAAAACAUUUUUUACACCAGUAGCAGCACCCCUAAGAUUAGCAAGCUUCCAGCAAAAGGAUCACAUGAGAAUCACAUAUCAGUAUCCUAUAUGAAGAGAAACAGAAACCCAACAAGAUGACAUAAAGAAAUAGAGGUAUCAAAAUUGUAAUUGCUAUAAGAACAGAAGCUUGAUUGCAUAGGGUUUCUUAUUACUGUUUUGUUUUAUGAUUUGCAUGCAUGUAUUUCCAGUCUGGAUUGGUAGCUAACAGGGAACUACGCUUCAUUGCCUAGAGAGGUCGUACCUCUUAAUCCUAGGUGGCUGAGCAAUUCCAGUUUCCAUGGUGUUAGUAAGUGCAUAGCAGCAACGCCGGCUAGUUAAGAUCCCUAUGACAGAGUCAAGCUAAUCAUUGGGAACCAUGCAAGAGAAAAAAACAAUAAAGAGGACGGUAAAUCCAAUAGAAAUACUAAGAGUAGUUGAAACACAAGAAUUUAUGGUAAGUUGGUGUGACCACCCAGUCAUCAUCUUUCACUUGCCAAACAAGGACGCAUGGGUGUGGAAGACCCCUCUUUUUGAACUCUGGUGUAGAGAACUGGAAAACAGGAGGGUAAAUGAAAAACAUGAAAAAUAAGAAACAUGGGUAAGAAAAACAAAGAAAGGAGAGAAAAUGCAUUGGGCAUGGUACCUGGAACUACAGUCCCAAACAUAUUUCCGGUCUUGAUCUUCUGUAGGUACUCAAGCAGUUUCAUGUGAUAUACUCAAACAGUAAUAUCAGCCCUAUCGACUAUUUUUUGCCCAGGUUCAAGACUCCAUUAUUUCAGGCCACUUUGGAUUACACGUGAAGGUUGUGAAGGUUGUGAUUAUAUCAGGCGAGGCUUGGACAUGGGAAAUAGUCAUCACGGCGUGGAAGUUUUCAGUUAUACAGCGACGCCCACCGGUAUAGGAUAACGGUAUAAUAUUUUUCUUAUGGACCUCGGCUUCAUCAAGCUUACCAAGUCCAACAGCGUCAACAACAAGCUGGAGCUUUUUAGCGCUCAUAUCGUCCGGAAGCUUUUCAGAAAGGACUCUCUCUCGCUGGUAGGCACUAAAGAUAGAACACACUCGUUUAUUUUUUGAGCUACUCCGUUCGUUGGUGUUAGAAUUGCUCUUUCUUUUAGAUAAUCAACGUCAGAAUACCUAGUAGGAACAUUUUUUUAUACAGCCUGAAGACAGGAAAUUAAUGAACAACAACAAAAAUCAGACAAACAAGUAGAAGCAUUAAAGCAGUGCACAGGAGCAUUAAAGCAUAUAUUAUGUUCAACAUUGUGGAAAUUGUGCAUAAGGCCUAAAGACUGAAUCAAUUCAGCAUUAUUGGUCAACUCCUACUGUUGAUAUAUUUUAAAUUUUUCCGGUACAUCUGGUCUCAAUAUAUACUAAAAGAACUGGUUCAAAUAACUCCAUAUGAGCAUUCUAGAUCAUCAAACCUUUUGAAAUUUCUUUCUUGUCACAUAUUUAAUGACCAAGAUCAAAGAAAAUAGACUGCACACAAACCAUAGCAACAACCAACACUUAGUUUGGAUCGGACAAAUUAUAUUGAAUGUUACGUGAGUUAGACUGACGAAUAUAGAUAUGCUGAGAAAAUGUUUAACCAAACCACAGACAUCAAGACCAUUUUUCUGAAUAAAAAAGGGCAGUUAUAAUUGUCUGUGUUAAACAGAAACAAUAAUAGCUCAAAUAAGCCGAGAAAUAACAUAAAAACUAUUAAAUCAGGACCAGGAUCGAUUCAUCAAGAAUCAAAACAAAUUAGCCAUCAUGAAUUGAUGAUACUUGGGGUAGCUCGUCCAAACGAAACUAAAUUUCAACCAUCGUUAUUCAAUUUCAAAGAAAACAGGGCAUAUUCAGUUAGAAGUGGACUCGGCAUGCAUUGACUGAAAAAUAUAGAGUGAGCAAACAGCUGCUCUACAGAUCCUAGGAUUUCAAGGAGCCGGUGGAUUGCCGAACCGGUCCUUAGUUGUAAUAGAAUCAAAGCGAGACCAAAUUAAACCAUUGCCUCCAUAUAGUAAGUAGUACAGGAUGGGGAAAUCAGACAUUAUCCAUAGCAUCUAGAUUCACCAAUAGCUCAACCAACAAAGGAUUUGCACAAAAACAUAAUCAAAGUGAAACCAAAUGGAAAGACAUUUAAUCGAAAGCAGUAACACACACGGAAUAUUCGAUUUCAGAGUAACAAACACUACUAUAAACACCCAGGCACUGGCAUGUUAUCCUUUUAACAUAGCUAGACCAUACAGCUUCAAGCACGAAGAACUUAAGGCUAAAAUGUAGCAGAAAAUAUAAUUCAAGCACCUAAGAAUAGCUUCAUAAUCCACUGAGCCACAACCCACGACAGUAAGACAAAGAACUAAGGUAGGAACUAACCCCAAUAGGCACAAGUCUGCAUCAUAUUUUGACGAACAUGGCUAGAAGAUGAAUGUUUACCUUAGAAGUACCUGAAUAAAUUAUGAGCCAUGUACUAAUUGGGGCCAGUUCUCUUACUGCUAGAUGUUGAAAGUGCCAAUGGCAUAGUCCUGCAAGAACCGAUCACAUCAGCUAAACAUAAAUGGGUAUACCUACUAGAAAGGAGAGGGAGGAAGGGACAGGUGACGGAGAGGAACCUGGAGGUGCAGGGGCACGAAUCCUGCCUCGCCCUUCUCCUCCAUCAAGGUCGCUGCUGGACCGGUCAACACCCCACAGGCUGCUGCUUCCCUUCCAGCUGCCGCCACUUGCCCAUAUCUACACUGCAUAUAACAUGCCAAAAUAUUCAGUGCAUGUCUCACACUGCAGGAACUUAGCCCACUAAGGAAAACCGACCGUCGGACUUGUUCCUCCUAACAACAUGGACGGUCAUCGUCGUCCUGGCCUUCUUCUCAUUCCUCGCGCCAUUGAUCAGCUCGAAGACGCAGAUAUCCCCCUUGUGCAGUUUGUUGUCGCUGACGAACUUGGCCCAAGGUUGGCCCCUGAAGCCUCUGCUAGAGCUCCCCUGGUGGUAGUAGCUGACAUGCCACCUCUCUUCUCUGUUUGGCCUGAGCAGCACAACCUCAUGUAAUCUCAUGUGGAGAUGUUCAUCUACAAAUUCACUGGGGAUGACCUGCACAAGGCACAAGGAGAAAUUAAUGUUAGUUCCUAAAUAUAAGUCUUUUUAGAGCUUUCACUAUAGACUACAUACGAAUGUAUAUAGACAUAUUUUAGAGUGUAGAUUCACUCAUUUUGCUCCGUAUGUAUGUAGUUCAUAUUGGAAUCUCUAAAAAGACUUAUACUUAGGAAUGGAUGGAGUACAUGCCAGAGUUGACAAAGAAUUACACAAGCUUGCGGCAAGUGUGUUACAUCGUUUUGAUCAGUUCAAACUGACCAGAAAGUUGUCCUUGCGUUGCAGAUGGGACCUUAGCAGAAAUGUCAUGAAUGCUGGAUUGCCUGGUUGGAUUGAAGCCAACCCGAUUAUUUCAUGUUUUUCGUCGUCAAGUAGUCUGUUCGCGGCCCUUGAGUGGCAGUAGUAGAAGUCAGCAUAUGUGUCAUCAUCACUCUCCUCUUCCGCAGUUUCCUCAUGCUUAACAUCACAUGAUCUGCUACAGUUUGGUGAUCCAGGAAGAAGCUCUUUCCCUGAAACAAUGUGUACAUGAGCUUAAAUUUAGCAUCUGAAAAAACCAGCAAAAGAUAAAUGUUGAUCAUGUGCAUAGUUACAUGGGUCUGUGUUAGCUGACUACACCAAGAUCUCAAGAAAGGAAUGUUGAUCAUGUGCAUAGUUACAUGGGUCUGUGUUAGCUGACUACACCAAGAUCUCAAGAAAGGGAUAUAUUCAGAGAUAUCAUCUCAUGUAUUAGUCGAACCACAUAAUGCCUUCCUUGGUUUGGUCCUGCUACUGAAUUUCCUUAAAGUGGAGACAUUCUGAUGGGACUCAAUCAACUGAGACGGCACACUUGUAUCAUCAUAAUCGUCGUAUUGCUCAACCUGUUGACCCACCAUACCAUCAAAAUGUUUGCGCAUACCAGCGCCAGCAAAGAGAGAAGACAGUUUCUCGCAGCCGGUCACAUCGAAGAUGAGGACUUUAAAAGAGGAGUUGCCGCUGAAUGUGAAGAUCAGGAGGUCAUUCUCCUGCAGUUCAUGAGUCUUGACAAAAUCUCCCCAUCCUGAACUGAAGAACAGGUCAUUGGCAACCUUGGUAACACCUACAUGCCAUGUUUCGCCGCUUGAUGCUUUCAGGUCAAAUCCCUGUGGGCUCUGCAUCUGCCUGAUGAAAUUGCUCGCAAACUUGUCCGGUAUGCGCUAAGAUGGAGAAGCAUAAAUUGUACAAAUAACUCACAUGGUUUUUAAGGGAAUAUUACAGUCCUUUGAGAGAGGUGCAUCGAUGCACUCUAUCUUCUAUGGAUGAACUAACGAAACAGUAAGACUUGUUUAUGAUCUCGACAAAACAUACAUGGGUAUACCUACUGGAAAGGAGAGGGAGGAAGGGAUAGGUGACGGAGAGGAACCUGAAGGUGCAGGGGCACGAAUCCUGCCUGGCCCUUCUCCUCCGUCAAGGUCGCUGCUGGACCGGUUGACGCCCCUCUGGCUGCUGCUGCCCUUCUAGCCGCCGCCAUGCCCUCCAGAUCCCUUCUCCUCCAUCAAGGUCGCUGCUGGACCGGUCGGCCGCCACGCCCGCCAGACCCCCGCUGGCCGCCACCAUCGCCUGCAUCCAGGCCGCCAACAGCAGCCUUGACCCGGCCCCAACCGUCAGCUCGACCAUGGUUUGGGCACCCUCCUUCACUCCAGAGGCGUCGUCCUCCGCCGCGAGGAGGAGGAGGCGGGGGAGCCCGUCCCGCGCGAACCCGGAGCA